rnacentral:snoRNA from 1 species
UGGCAAUGAUGACAAACUAUCACUCGAUCUGCAGAUUUGUAUCUGCUAUUUCUGAUGACUAACAUGUUUUGUGCGUGUCUGAGCCAA